AGAAACCUGUCUGCAAAAACAAGAACAGAUUCCCCAAUGUACUUCCAUGUACAGGUCCUAGGCUCAUGGUGAGACGAUUCUAGCUCCUGGGGUUCUGACACCAACAUCCCCUCUAGAAGGACCAAGACCGCGUGGUCAGCGACGCUGAGAUGUGACACAUGACGCUCACCAGACCGGCUAAGGUUGGUGCUUAUUGGGUCAGUCACUACCGAACACCAUUACCACACUGCAAAAACAGAUAGAUAAGCAAGACCCUGUGGAGGAAUUCAAGGUGCUAUAUGAAAUGUCAGUGGCAGUCAACUGUGAGGAAGCCAAGAAACCUGUCUGCAAAA